UACAGAGGUCCCGAGCGUUGUUCGGAUUUAUUGGGCGUAAAGGGUGCGUAGGCGGGUCUUUUAAGUCAGGGGUGAAAUCCUGGAGCUCAACUCCAGAACUGCCUUUGAUACUGAGAAGCUGGAGUCCGGGAGAGGUGAGUGGAACUGCGAGUGUAGAGGUGAAAUUCGUAGAUAUUCGCAAGAACACCAGUGGCGAAGGCGGCUCACUGGCCCGGUACUGACGCUGAGGUGCGAAAAGCGUGGGGAGCAAACAGG
rnacentral:rRNA from 1 species